CCCUUAGAUGUCCGGGGCCGCACGCGCGCUACACUGAAGGAAUCAGCGUGGCUCUGUCCCUGGUCCGAAAGGAUUGGGAAACCCGUUGAAUCUCCUUCGUGAUAGGGAUUGGGGCUUGGAACUGUUCCCCAUGAACGAGGAAUUCCCAGUAAGCGCGAGUCAUAAGCUCGCGUUGAUUACGUCCCUGCCCUUUGUACACACCGCCCGUCGCUCCUACCGAUUGAGUGGUCCGGUGAAUUAUUCGGACUGCAACGCGUUCAGCUUCUGGAUGCAGUUGCGGAAAGUUUUGUAAACCUUAUCACUUAGAGGAAGGAGAAGUCGUAACA
rnacentral:rRNA from 1 species